rnacentral:rRNA from 1 species
UACGGAAGGAGCAGUGGGGGAAUAUUGCACAAUGGGCGAAAGCCUGAUGCAGCUAUGCCGCGUGUAUGAAGAAGGCCUUAGGGUUGUAAAGUACUUUCAUCGGGGAGGAAAAAACAAAACUAAUAAUUUUAUUUCUUGACGUUACCCGAAAAAGAAGCACCGGCUAACUCCGUGCCAGCAGCCGCGGUAAUACGGAGGGUGCUAGCGUUAAUCAGAAUUACUGGGCGUAAAGAGCACGUAGGUGGUUUUUUUAAGUCAGAUGUGAAAUCCCUGGGCUUAACCUAGGAACUGCAUUUUGAAACUGAAAUACUAGAGUAUCGUAGAGGGAGGUAGAAUUCUAGGUGUAGCGGUGAAAUGCGUAGAUAUCUGGAGGAAUACCUGUGGCGAAAGCGGCCUCCUAAACGAAUACUGACACUGAGGGUGCGAAAGCGUGGGGAGCAAACAGGGAUUAGAUACC